rnacentral:rRNA from 1 species
AGAGUUUGAUCCUGGCUCAGAUUGAACGCUGGCGGCAUGCUUUACACAUGCAAGUCGAACGGCAGCACGGGCUUCGGCCUGGUGGCGAGUGGCGAACGGGUGAGUAAUGCGUCGGAACGCGCCGAGUAGUGGGGGAUAACGCAGCGAAAGCUGUGCUAAUACCGCAUACGUACUGAGGUAGAAAGUGGGGGACCUUCGGGCCACACGCUAUUCGAGCGGCCGACGUCUGAUUAGCUAGUUGGUGGGGUAAAGGCUCACCAAGGCGACGAUCAGUAGCGGGUCUGAGAGGAUGAUCCGCCACACUGGGACUGAGACACGGCCCAGACUCCUACGGGAGGCAGCAGUGGGGAAUUUUGGACAAUGGGCGCAAGCCUGAUCCAGCCAUGCCGCGUGUCUGAAGAAGGCCUU